UUCAUAACUGUAGUGCGAAAUACAUAAGUAGACACGGUGUGAAGUACACUGUGUAGCAGAAGGUCCGAAGAAAGGGACUGACUGAAUUAAAAAUGGUGUGACUGCUUAUUAAAGCCACAUGCUAUGUGGUCAGGAAGAUAAGGGCCUCCGUUGCUGAAGGGGAAGAGAAGGAGAAGCCCAUCUUCACACCAUGUAGCCUGGCUAAAGGAAAGAAGAUGGAGGGGUCAGCAUCAGGGUCUGAGCCACAAGCAGCAAUGUUGACCCCUGAUCCUGAUGUUGACAGCACAGCCAGUGCUGCACCAUUGGAGACUUCAGUGCAGAAGUGUGGUUCGUGAGGUUAAGGACACACUGGCUGUCACAUCUGUGGACUGGGGAGAGUCACAGGGGAGCAGUGUAAAGAGAUCUUCCAUCAGUGCUUAGGGGUGCAGCAGUGACUACAAUUGACAAAAUAUGUAAUAAUCUAUUUUUUUUUCACCAUUUACACUUUUACCAAUGUUACAGUUUGUUAAAAAUGCAUACUCUUUUUGUAAGCCCACAGAAUCAAAUGUAUCUCAACCCCUUGGUCUUUUUUUAAAUGGUGAGAG